UCCACCAGCGCUUGCUUUGCUUUGUCCCUCGCCUCGCCGGAGCGCCACCGCGUUCCGGUCUCUACUCGCCCCCGAUUCCCUGCUCCCAGCGGUCGUCAUCCAUCAUGGUUUGCCUGCUAGCGCAGGCCAAGGAUUUCCCUGGCUAGUUGGGCUCUGAUGAAGGCUCGCAACUGACCACCGGCCACCACGAACACUACAAACGACCUCACCAUGCCGCCGGCGAGGCCGGCCUCACCGGCACCGGCCGUUGUGGACCACUCCCCAACUCAUGUUUCUGCAGCCCCGUUCAAUUCUAGGUUGAGGCGUUGAGCUCAGAAUAGACCAGCACCGGGAUAGCUUUGCUGUUCCAGCCUGCACAAGCAUUCAGGUUCCUCACUGUUGCAACCCUUGGAGUGGGCAUCGGCCUAUGAGAGCAGCGAAGCCACCAUGAGCUAGGAACAACAGGGAAUCAGGGGUGCUGGCCUUCGAGGGUGUCUACUGGUCGUGGGCUCGUGGCAGUCGCUCAGCCACCUGCAUGUGGUCGCCCUUCACCACCAACGCCGUGUGAGCUCCCACGUCGUUGAUCUGCACAACAAGACCCAAUCCUAAUUUUACAAUCGUCCGCACCCAACAGAACUCACGGUCGACGACCAACGUGUGGGGCCCACGCGAUGUGAUUUUAUCUCUUCCCCUCCCCUCUUCUUUCCCUUUCCCUCUUUCUCUUUUUUCCUUCUACGGAU